GUGCUUGCUUCAGUAGCACGCGUACUAAAACUGGAACAAUACGGAGAUUAGCAUGACCCCUGUGCAAGGUGACACACAAAUUCGUGAAGCAUUCCAUAUUUAA
ensembl:snRNA U6 U6 spliceosomal RNA